UAUUCUUUUGCUGUUAUGCCAUCUCCCCAUGUGUAUGUUUUUGGUAAGGAAUUGCGAAGCCAGAACUUGCGUAACAUCUCCAGAUCUCCAGUCAGCAUACAGACUCAUCUUCCCCUCGCUCAGCAUAACGUUAAUGGCCUAAUGGCGAUGAGAGUCUCUGACCCCCUUGUGGAGCUGAAGAGUUUUGUAAGAGAGCUGCGUGGUGGGAUUGCAGAAGAGCAAGGACCACACACUACCUUGAGCUUCAGGAGGAGACCUAAGGAAGACCACAAAUCUAGACUGAGAGUCUCAUUCACAAAAAGCCGUUAUAGAGACCGACAGAAACUAGAGGUGCCAAAAGUACCACAAGGUCAAUUGGGAGAAUAA
rnacentral:lncRNA from 1 species